ACUUUACAAUGCGGGAAACCGUGAUAAGGGGACACCGAGUGCCAGCGUCAUACGCUGGCUGUCCAGGUGUGUAAAAUACACCUGUUAGCAAGGGCCGGGCAAGACCGGUGCCAGCCGCCGCGGUAACACCGGCGGCCCGAGUGGUGAUCGUGAUUAUUGGGUCUAAAGGGUCCGUAGCCGGUUUGGUCAGUCCUCCGGGAAAUCUGACAGCUCAACUGUUAGGCUUUCGGGGGAUACUGCCAGACUUGGAACCGGGAGAGGUAAGAGGUACUACAGGGGUAGGA
rnacentral:rRNA from 1 species